GCUCCAAUAGGAUAUAUCAAAGUUGUUGCAGUUGAAAAGCUCGUAGUCGUAUUUCUGAUGGGUAGAAGCUUCUUGUCGGCCUGGCGCAAGUCAGGUGACUCGGGGCCGCCUGUCAUUUUGUGGGCCAAGUGGCCAGGGUGUGGUUCGCUCCAUGACCUGGUCGCUCCACUCCGUCACUGAGAGCAAAUUGGAGUGCUCAA
rnacentral:rRNA from 1 species